AUACGUAGGGGGCGAGCGUCGUCCGGAAUGAUUGGGCGUAAAGGGCGCGUAGGCGGCCCGGUAAGUCUGGAGUGAAAGUCCUGUUUUUAAGAUGGGAAUUGCUUUGGAUACUGUCGGGCUUGAGUGCAGGAGAGGUAAGUGGAAUUCCCAGUGUAGCGGUGAAAUGCGUAGAGAUUGGGAGGAACACCAGUGGCGAAGGCGACUUACUGGACUGUAACUGACGCUGAGGCGCGAAAGUGUGGGGAGCAAACAGGAUUAGAUACCCUGGUAGUCCACACUGUAAACGAUGAAUGCUAGGUGUAGGGGGUAUCGACCCCUUCUGUGCCGCAGUCAACACAAUAAGCAUUCCGCCUGGGGAGUACGGCCGCAAGGUUGAAACUCAAAUGAAUCGACGGGG
rnacentral:rRNA from 1 species